AAGUCGUAACAAGGUUUCCGUAGGUGAACCUGCGGAAGGAUCAUUAAUGAAUUGAAAGGGAGUUGAUGCUGGCUGCACAUCUGGGCAGCAUGUGCUCGCUCCUGACAAUAUUAUCCAUACACCUGUGCACCUUUUUGAGGGAUCUGAGCCGCUAGCAAUGGCGGAUUAGACUCUUGAUUUCAAAACAUACACAAAAUUAAUACUCGGACGUGAUCGCGUCUUAUGGCGCUCAAACUAUAUACAACUUUUAACAACGGAUCUCUUGGCUCUC
rnacentral:misc_RNA from 1 species